UACAGAGGGUGCGAGCGUUGUCCGGAAUUACUGGGCGUAAAGGGCGCGUAGGCGGCUCUGUUAGUCAGGCGUGAAAGCCCUGGGCUCAACCUGGGGACUGCGCUUGAUACGGCGGGGCUUGAGGGCAGGAGAGGCUCGCGGAAUUCCCAGUGUAGAGGUGAAAUUCGUAGAUAUUGGGAAGAACACCGGUGGCGAAGGCGGCGAGCUGGCCUGUUACUGACGCUGAGGCGCGACAGCGUGGGGAGCAAACAGG
rnacentral:rRNA from 1 species